CCCAAACCUUCCCCAUAUAUAUAGCCCUCUUUCAGCAUAAUCUUGGCCAUCAUAAUAGAAGCACAGGAUAAAUGAGGAUUUACUGGACACGGCUCCACACAAGCAUUUCCCACAAUCUCCAACGAUUGAAAGGCUGUUUCAAGAGCUUCUUCAGCUGCCUCAAUGUAACGCGUGGAUGAUGGCCCACUCACAAGAAGAUCCUCUUCUCCCGACACUAUUACCAACUUAUCCCCCAUCACAUAUUUUAGCUUCUGAUGUAAUGUAGAAGGCACGACUCCGGCCGAAUGGAUCCACGGGCGCCCCAACAAACAACUAUAAGCUGGCAAGAUGUCCAUAACCUGGAACGUUAUUUGGAAGACACACGGGCCAACUUGCACUGGUAAUUCCACUUCCCC
rnacentral:lncRNA from 1 species